CUGGACGGAUGCUGGUGAGAGAGCUGGCAGUGUUAAACACACAGAUUUGCAAGAUUGAGCAGCACAUUUUCAUCUCUCGUGCUGGCAUGAUGGUAUUGGAUGAACUGUCCUCUCAGCUUGAAGAGGUAGCCAUUCAUCUGCAGUACGUGGAUGAGGAGGUUUGGC